CCAGACUCCUACGUGAGGCAGCAGUGGGGAAUAUUGGGCAAUGGGCGCAAGCCUGACCCAGCAACGCCGCGUGAAGGAAGAAGGCCCUCGGGUUGUAAACUUCUUUUAUCAAGGACGAAACAAAUGACGGUACUUGAUGAAUAAGCCACGGCUAAAUACGUGCCAGCAGCCGCGGUAAUACGUAUGGUGCAAGCGUUAUCCGGAUUUACUGGGUGUAAAGGGAGCGUAGGCGGCGCGUUAAGUCUGAUGUGAAAACCCGAGGCUCAACCACGGGAGUGCAUUGGAAACUGGCGGGCUGGAGUGCCGGAGAGGUAAGCGGAAUUCCUAGUGUAGCGGUGAAAUGCGUAGAUAUUAGGAGGAACACCAGUGGCGAAGGCGGCCUGCUGGACGACAACUGACGGUGAGGCGCGAAAGCGUGGGGAGCAAACAGGAUUAGAUACCCGUGUAA
rnacentral:rRNA from 1 species